GUGUCAGCCGCCGCGGUAAGACGGACCACACGAACGUUAUUCGGAAUUACUGGGCUUAAAGGGUGCGUAGGCUGUGCAGAAAGUUGGGUGUGAAAUCCCUCGGCUUAACCGAGGAACUGCGCCCAAAACUACUGUGCUUGAGAAAGAUAGAGGUAAGCGGAACUUAGGGUGGAGCGGUGAAAUGCGUUGAUAUCCUAAGGAACACCGGUGGCGAAAGCGGCUUACUGGGUCUUUUCUGACGCUGAGGCACGAAAGCUAGGGUAGCGAACGGGAUUAGAUACCCCGGUAGUCCUAGCCGUAAACGAUGAGCACUGAAUUGAAGGGUCCUCCAUAGCCUUUCAGUUGUAGCGAAAGUGUUAAGUGCUCCGCCUGGGGAGUAUGGUCGCAAGGCUGAA
rnacentral:rRNA from 1 species